rnacentral:rRNA from 1 species
UACGAAGGGGGCUAGCGUUGCUCGGAAUCACUGGGCGUAAAGGGCGCGUAGGCGGCUCGGUCAGCGUGCGGUGAAAGCCCGGGGCUCAACCCCGGGUCGGCCGUGCGAACUGCUGGGCUGGAGCACUGUAGAGGCAGGUGGAAUUCCGGGUGUAGCGGUGAAAUGCGUAGAGAUGUGGAGGAACACCGAUGGCGAAGGCAGCCUCCUGGGCCAAUAUUGACGCUCAGGCACGAAAGCGUGGGGAGCAAACAGG